AUUGAACGCUGGCGGCAUGCCUAACACAUGCAAGUCGAACGGUAACAGGCCCGCAAGGGUGCUGACGAGUGGCAGACGGGUGAGUAACACGUAGGAAUCUGCCCUGUAGUGGGGGAUAGCCCGGCGAAAGCCGGAUUAAUACCGCAUACGCUCUACGGAGGAAAGCGGGGGAUCGCAAGACCUCGCGCUAUUGGAUGAGCCUACGUCUGAUUAGCUAGUUGGUAGGGUAAUGGCCUACCAAGGCGACGAUCAGUAGCUGGUCUGAGAGGAUGAUCAGCCACGCCGGAACUGAGACACGGUCCGGACUCCUACGGGAGGCAGCAGUGGGGAAUAUUGGACAAUGGGGGAAACCCUGAUCCAGCAAUGCCGCGUGUGUGAAGAAGGCCUGCGGGUUGUAAAGCACUUUUGUUGGGGAAGAAAAGCCGUCGGCGAAUAUCCGGCGGUCUUGACGGUACCCAAAGAAUAAGCACCGGCUAACUCCGUGCCAGCAGCCGCGGUAAUAC
rnacentral:rRNA from 1 species